GCCGAACGACCAUUUAAAGCGAUAGCAAUCCUUGCCCUCUCCCCAGUGCUGGGUUGUUGGAGAGCGCGAGCGGCAAGCCGGGGAGCGCGAGCGCGGCGCGCGGGCCGGCGAACCCGGGAGCGCACGGAGCCCCAAUCUGGCAGGCGCCGCGGGACCCCCCAUCUUCUCUGGCUGCCCCUCCCCGGGCGCCCCCACCCUCCGUGCCUGCAGGAGUCUCAGGGCUUCCCCGGAGGACCUCACCCCAAGGGGCCCGGACCCCGGCGAGCCCGCCACCAUCCCCUCCAGCGCUGCCGCCACCACCGCAGCAGCCGGAGCAGCAUGGUCCAGCUGGGGAAGCUGCUCCGCGUCCUGACUUUGAUGAAGUUCCCCUGCUGCGUGCUGGAGGUGCUCCUGUGCGCGCUGGCGGCGGCGGCGCGCGGCCAGGAGAUGUACGCCCCGCACUCUAUCCGGAUCGAGGGGGACGUCACCCUCGGGGGGCUGUUCCCGGUGCAUGCCAAGGGUCCUAGCGGAGUGCCCUGCGGCGACAUCAAGAGGGAGAACGGGAUCCACAGGCUGGAAGCGAUGCUCUACGCCCUGGACCAGAUCAACAGCGAUCCCAACCUGCUGCCCAACGUGACGCUGGGCGCGCGGAUCCUGGACACUUGUUCCAGGGACACUUACGCGCUCGAACAGUCGCUCACUUUCGUCCAGGCGCUCAUCCAGAAGGACACCUCCGACGUGCGCUGCACCAACGGCGAGCCUCCGGUUUUCGUCAAGCCGGAGAAAGUAGUUGGAGUGAUUGGGGCUUCAGGGAGUUCGGUCUCCAUCAUGGUAGCCAACAUCCUGAGGCUCUUCCAGAUCCCCCAGAUCAGUUACGCAUCAACGGCACCUGAGUUAAGUGAUGACAGGCGCUACGACUUCUUCUCUCGUGUGGUCCCACCUGACUCCUUCCAAGCUCAGGCUAUGGUGGACAUUGUAAAGGCCCUAGGAUGGAAUUAUGUGUCUACCCUUGCAUCUGAAGGAAGUUACGGAGAGAAAGGUGUGGAAUCCUUCACGCAGAUUUCCAAAGAGGCAGGUGGGCUCUGCAUUGCACAGUCUGUGAGAAUCCCCCAAGAGCGCAAAGACAGAACCAUUGACUUUGAUAGAAUUAUCAAACAGCUCCUGGACACCCCCAACUCCAGGGCCGUCGUGAUUUUUGCCAACGAUGAGGAUAUAAAGCAGAUCCUUGCAGCAGCCAAAAGAGCUGACCAAGUAGGCCAUUUUCUUUGGGUGGGAUCAGACAGCUGGGGUUCCAAAAUAAACCCACUGCACCAGCAUGAAGAUAUUGCAGAAGGAGCCAUCACCAUUCAGCCCAAGCGAGCAACAGUCGAAGGGUUUGAUGCCUAUUUUACGUCACGCACACUUGAAAACAACAGAAGAAACGUAUGGUUUGCUGAAUACUGGGAGGAAAACUUCAACUGCAAGUUGACAAUUAGUGGGUCAAAGAAAGAAGACACAGAUCGCAAAUGCACAGGACAGGAGAGAAUUGGGAAAGAUUCCAACUAUGAACAGGAGGGUAAAGUUCAGUUUGUGAUUGAUGCGGUCUAUGCAAUGGCUCAUGCCCUUCAUCAUAUGAACAAGGAUCUCUGUGCCGACUACCGAGGGGUCUGUCCGGAAAUGGAGCAAGCUGGGGGAAAGAAGUUGUUGAAGUAUAUCCGCAAUGUUAAUUUCAAUGGUAGUGCAGGCACCCCAGUAAUGUUUAACAAGAAUGGGGAUGCACCAGGGCGUUAUGACAUCUUUCAGUACCAGACAACAAACACCACCAACCCUGGUUACCGUCUGAUUGGACAGUGGACAGAUGAACUUCAGCUCAAUAUAGAGGACAUGCAGUGGGGUAAAGGAGUCCGGGAGAUCCCCCCCUCAGUGUGCACACUGCCAUGCAAGCCUGGGCAAAGAAAGAAGACUCAGAAGGGAACUCCGUGCUGCUGGACCUGUGAGCCUUGUGAUGGCUACCAGUACCAGUUUGAUGAGAUGACAUGCCAACAUUGCCCCUACGACCAGAGGCCCAAUGAAAACCGAACCGGCUGCCAGGAUAUCCCCAUCAUCAAAUUAGAGUGGCAUUCCCCCUGGGCCGUCAUCCCUGUCUUCCUAGCAAUGUUGGGGAUCAUUGCCACCAUCUUUGUCAUGGCCACUUUCAUCCGCUACAAUGACACGCCCAUUGUCCGGGCAUCUGGGCGGGAACUGAGCUACGUUCUGUUGACUGGCAUCUUUCUUUGCUACAUUAUCACUUUCCUGAUGAUAGCCAAACCUGAUGUGGCCGUGUGUUCUUUCCGGAGAGUUUUCUUGGGCUUGGGUAUGUGCAUCAGUUAUGCAGCCCUCUUGACAAAAACCAAUCGGAUUUAUCGCAUAUUUGAGCAGGGCAAGAAAUCAGUGACAGCUCCCAGACUCAUAAGCCCAACAUCACAGCUGGCAAUCACUUCCAGUUUAAUAUCAGUUCAGCUUCUAGGAGUUUUCAUUUGGUUUGGUGUUGAUCCACCCAACAUCAUCAUAGACUAUGAUGAACAUAAGACAAUGAACCCUGAGCAGGCCAGGGGAGUUCUCAAAUGUGACAUUACAGAUCUCCAAAUCAUUUGCUCCUUGGGAUAUAGCAUUCUUCUCAUGGUCACAUGUACUGUGUAUGCCAUCAAGACUCGGGGUGUCCCAGAGAAUUUUAAUGAAGCCAAACCCAUUGGAUUCACUAUGUACACGACAUGUAUAGUGUGGCUUGCCUUCAUUCCCAUUUUUUUUGGCACUGCUCAGUCAGCGGAAAAGCUCUACAUACAAACUACCACGCUUACAAUCUCCAUGAACCUAAGUGCAUCAGUGGCGUUGGGGAUGCUAUACAUGCCGAAAGUGUACAUCAUCAUUUUCCACCCUGAACUCAAUGUCCAGAAACGGAAGCGAAGCUUCAAGGCGGUAGUCACAGCAGCCACCAUGUCUUCACGGCUGUCACACAAACCCAGUGACAGACCCAACGGGGAGGCAAAAACAGAACUCUGUGAAAACGUAGACCCAAACAACUGUAUACCACCAGUAAGAAAGAGUGUACAAAAGUCUGUUACUUGGUACACUAUCCCACCAACAGUAUAGCUUUUGCCUGCUUUCUAAAAGCACAUCAUCUGGCCAGGAUUUGUGAACGCUAAGGGCAUUUUUAAGUUGGGUCCAUCAAAGAAAUGUUUGUCAAGCACCACUCCUCUGGGCCAGCCCUGGACAGACUAGGUAUUGGGGACAGAAGCGGACGAUACCCUCAGGGAGCCCAGAUCUGAUGGAAGACUCGAAGGUAAGAAAUGAUCAUUCAGAUUGGCAAUGCCUCUUAGAAGAGGUCUAUGCCAAGUGCUAGCAAGCUAUAGGUGGAGAGCAUCACCCAGGUUUUGUUUGAGCUGGUCUCAAAUGAUGAAGGACUCCAGGCAACCAUAAAGAAAAGUCACAAAAGGCAGAAAACAAAUAUGCACAAAGAACCCAGCGUACAAAAGAAUAUGGUAUAUGGUGAGACUAGAAGGCAGUUCUGUGAGGCUGGAAUAUUAUGUUUUGAGGCAGACAGUUGCAGGGAAUGACAUGCAGGAAAGCAGCUGGUAUGUAGAGGGACUGAGUCACCUGUAUCUUUGUGCCUGUAGCAAAGGGCCUGGCAAAUACUAGGUUCUCAGAAAAUGUGCAUGGAUUGACUGGAGUAUAAUACCUCACAUACUAAAGGCUCCUAAACUUACCUAGAACACAUUAUGUACACAUAAUAACAAAAUUCCACAUCGACAGACUCAGCAAGUAGAACUGUAUUCUUCCAGAUAAAACCUCUAAAAGUUAUAAACUGCCUUGAAAGGCAUUUUUUUUUUACCCUGUCACAGGUUUCAAAACUAUGCCGUAGUUAUUACAUAAAACUCUUAAAACUGACAAUCAAUGCUAUAUCUGCAUUUGUGUAAUUAACUAAGAUGUCUUUUGACGAGCUAACCCUGUGUAUAAAACCAACAAAGUUUUAUGCCCACUUCUUUCCUUUUAUGGACUACUGAUACCCUAUUUGUGUUUCAAAGGGCCCAUGAACUUCAAAUUUACCACUGGAAAUGGAUCCUAUGCACUUGCUUAAGUAGUUAGCACUUCUAAUUUGGUAAAAACAAAAAUAUUAUCAAUUUCAUUGUUUUCUGAUUAUUAAGUGCUUUUAAAUUUUUUUAAAAAUGUUUAGAGACUGGCAUUUAGGACAGAUUUUGUCUUUUAGGCCUCAAGUAUCAUUUGCAUUUAAAAAGAAAACAGUGUAUCCUAAACCAAAGUCAGUUAAUCUGUACAAUCUUUCUUCUUCCCAAUUACUGGAAUGAGCAUCCUCUCAGGACUCAAGUGACGGUGACUCUUAUUUCUGCCUUCUAAAGACAUGUCUCAGCUUCGCAGAUUUUUUUUUUUUUUUGGCUGUACAAUGGAACUUGGAUGCAUUUUAAAUUAACUUUCUCUAGGAAUCAAAGAGUAACCUCUGAGGACCCCAGCUUGCACUAAGAGGACUGAGCAAAUGUGUCCAAAGCCUGUUCUUGCUGAAGUGACCCAAACACUUAGAAGAACAUGACAAGAAUCAGCAAUCCCACUUCACGCCCUGCUGCAAAAAAGAAGUAUGUCAGUUAUAAUAACCUGGUUAUCUAACCUGUUUCAUUCCAUGGAACCAUGGAAGAGGAAGACCCUCAGUUAUUUCGUCACCCAACCUGGCAUAGGACUCUUUUGGUCCUGCCCGCUGCCCAUCACUGGAGGAGCAUCCCCGGCCAGGAGACCAACGUUAGAGGAUCCAAGUGUCCUACACAGCUGCUUUAUGAAAUAUUCUUACUUUAUCUUGGCUUAAUAAGUCACUGGCAUCAGCACUGCCAACUCGGCUGCAAUUUUGGACCUUCCCUACCACAGGGAGUGUUGAGACUCAAGUCCCACCCAGGCUCUUUAGGAUGAACCAUCGAGAGCCACAGUGAACGUUUUGGGGCUGACUUGUCUUUCUACGUAUGUACUUCCAGACUGCAAGGUUUUGAAAUUUUCUGUACAGUUUGUGAGGACUAUUGCACUUUGCCAUCUGAUGUUGUACCUUGGUUCACUGUUUGUUUUCGAAUGCCUUGUUUCCAUAGAGCCCUAUUCUCUCAGACGGCAGAAUAUUUGGAAAAAUUUUUAAACAAUUCAAAUGUUAAAAAGAUCUCGGCAGACUAAAAGAAAAAAAAACAAAGAAAGAAAUUAAAACCACAUAUGUAAUGACUGUAUAAUUAUGAUUAUAGUACCACUGCAAAUCAUGUUAUUUUUUUAACACAAAAAAGGUAUUUAAAGACCAAAAACUGUGCUGAGAAAGUAUGCCCCACCCACCUAUCUUUGGUAUAAGGAUAGGUCACAUGAAAAGAAGGUAUUGGCUGAACUGAAUAGAGGUCUUCAUCUUUGGAAUGCAUGCCAGUAAUGUAUUUUACAGUACAUGUUAAUAAUUUAUGUUCAAUAUUUGUAUUUGUGUUCUCUUUUGUUAUUUUAAUUAAGGUAAAUGGAUAUUUUGCAAUAAUUUUAAUAAUGAUUAAGCUAUUUGAAGAAAAGAAUAUGGAUUUUUCAUGUCUUGAGGUUUUGUUCAUGCCCCCCUAUGACUGACCAGUGUGAUAAGGACUUUAAAAAAAAGCAUGUAUGUUUUUUACUGUUUGUAAUAAGUACUUUCGUUAAUCUUGCUGCUUAUGUGCCAAUUUAGUGGAAAAACACCCUUGCUGAAAAACUCCCCCUUUCCAUUCUCUUUCAAUUCUGUGAUAUUGUCCAAGAAUGUACCAAUAAAAUUCUUUGGUUAACUUUUUUA